rnacentral:rRNA from 1 species
UAGGGAAUCUUCGGCAAUGGACGAAAGUCUGACCGAGCAACGCCGCGUGAGUGAAGAAGGUUUUCGGAUCGGUAAAACUCUGUUGGUAGAGAAGAACGUUGGUGAGAGUGGAAAGCUCAUCAAGUGACGGUAACUACCCAGAAAGGGACGGCUAACUACGUGCCAG